CACGUAGUUAGCCGUGGCUUAUUCAACAGGUACCGUCUUCUGCUCUUCCCUGUUAAAAGAAGUUUACAACCCGAAAGCCUUCUUCCUUCACGCGGCGUUGCUGGGUCAGGCUUGCGCCCAUUGCCCAAUAUUCCCCACUGCUGCCUCCCGUAGGAGUCUGGGCCGUAUCUCAGUCCCAAUGUGGCCGGCCAACCUCUCAGUCCGGCUACUGAUCGUCGCCUUGGUAGGCCGUUACCCUACCAACUAGCUAAUCAGACGCGAGGCCAUCUCUCAGCGAUAAAUCUUUGGCAUCUGUACCAUGCGAUACCUAUGCAUUAUGCGGUAUUAGCAGUCGUUUCCAACUGUUGUCCCCCUCUGAAAGGCAGGUUCCUCACGCGUUACUCACCCGUCCGCCACUAAACAACCCCUUCCAUUGACCGAAAUCUCUUUCCAAGGCGUUCCGUUCGACUUGCAUGUGUUAAGCACGCCGCCAGCGUUCGUCCUGAGCCAGGAUCAAACUCU
rnacentral:rRNA from 1 species